GAAUAGCUCAGUUGGUAGAGCAGGAGACUCUUAAGCUCAGGCUCGUGGGUUCGAGCCCCAGGUUGAGCA